rnacentral:rRNA from 1 species
UAGGGGAGCGUUCUGUAAGCCUGUGAAGGUGUGUCGUGAGGCAUGCUGGAGGUAUCAGAAGUGCGAAUGCUGACAUAAGUAACGAUAAAGCGGGUGAAAAGCCCGCUCGCCGGAAGACCAAGGGUUCCUGUCCAACGUUAAUCGGGGCAGGGUGAGUCGACCCCUAAGGCGAGGCCGAAAGGCGUAGUCGAUGGGAAACGGGUUAAUAUUCCCGUACUUGGUGUUACUGCGAAGGGGGGACGGAGAAGGCUAUGUUGGCCGGGCGACGGUUGUCCCGGUUUAAGCGUGUAGGUGUGUGUUCCAGGUAAAUCCGGUUCACUUUAACACUGAGGCGUGACGACGAGGCACUACGGUGCUGAAGCAACAAAUGCCCUGCUUCCAGGAAAAGCCUCUAAGCAUCAGGUAACAUCAAAUCGUACCCCAAACCGACACAGGUGGUCAGGUAGAGAAUACCAAGGCGCUUGAGAGAACUCGGGUGAAGGAACUAGGCAAAAUGGUGCCGUAACUUCGGGAGAAGGCACGCUGACACGUAGGUGAAGUGAUUUACUCAUGGAGCUGAAGUCAGUCGAAGAUACCAGCUGGCUGCAACUGUUUAUUAAAAACACAGCACUGUGCAAACACGAAAGUGGACGUAUACGGUGUGACGCCUGCCCGGUGCCGGAAGGUUAAUUGAUGGGGUCAGCGCAAGCGAAGCUCCUGAUCGAAGCCCCGGUAAACGGCGGCCGUAACUAUAACGGUCCUAAGGUAGCGAAAUUCCUUGUCGGGUAAGUUCCGACCUGCACGAAUGGCGUAAUGAUGGCCAGGCUGUCUCCACCCGAGACUCAGUGAAAUUGAACUCGCUGUGAAGAUGCAGUGUACCCGCGGCAAGACGGAAAGACCCCGUGAACCUUUACUAUAGCUUGACACUGAACAUUGAGCCUUGAUGUGUAGGAUAGGUGGGAGGCUUUGAAGUGUGGACGCCAGUCUGCAUGGAGCCGACCUUGAAAUACCACCCUUUAAUGUUUGAUGUUCUAACGUGGACCCGUUACCCGGGUUGCGGACAGUGUCUGGUGGGUAGUUUGACUGGGGCGGUCUCCUCCUAAAGAGUAACGGAGGAGCACGAAGGUUGGCUAAUCCUGGUCGGACAUCAGGAGGUUAGUGCAAUGGCAUAAGCCAGCUUGACUGCGAGCGUGACGGCGCGAGCAGGUGCGAAAGCAGGUCAUAGUGAUCCGGUGGUUCUGAAUGGAAGGGCCAUCGCUCAACGGAUAAAAGGUACUCCGGGGAUAACAGGCUGAUACCGCCCAAGAGUUCAUAUCGACGGCGGUGUUUGGCACCUCGAUGUCGGCUCAUCACAUCCUGGGGCUGAAGUAGGUCCCAAGGGUAUGGCUGUUCGCCAUUUAAAGUGGUACGCGAGCUGGGUUUAGAACGUCGUGAGACAGUUCGGUCCCUAUCUGCCGUGGGCGCUGGAGAACUGAGGGGGGCUGCUCCUAGUACGAGAGGACCGGAGUGGACGCAUCACUGGUGUUCGGGUUGUCAUGCCAAUGGCACUGCCCGGUAGCUAAAUGCGGAAGAGAUAAGUGCUGAAAGCAUCUAAGCACGAAACUUGCCCCGA